GAUGAAGAACGCAGCGAAAUGCGAUAAGUAAUGUGAAUUGCAGAAUUCAGUGAAUCAUCGAGUCUUUGAACGCACAUUGCGCCCCUUGGUAUUCCAUGGGGCAUGCCUGUUCGAGCGUCAUUUGUACCUUCAAGCUCUGCUUGGUGUUGGGUGUUUGUCUCGCCUCUGCGUGUAGACUCGCCUCAAAACAAUUGGCAGCCGGCGUAUUGAUUUCGGAGCGCAGUACAUCUCGCGCUUUGCACUCAUAACGACGACGUCCAAAAGUACAUUUUUACACUCUUGACCUCGGAUCAGGUAGGGAUACCCGCUGAACUUAAGCAUAUCAAUAAGCGGAGGA
rnacentral:misc_RNA from 1 species